rnacentral:rRNA from 1 species
UACGGAGGGAGCUAGCGUUGUUCGGAAUUACUGGGCGUAAAGCGCGCGUAGGCGGCUUUGUAAGUUAGAGGUGAAAGCCCGGGGCUCAACCCCGGAACUGCCUUUAAGACUGCAUCGCUUGAAUCCGGGAGAGGUGAGUGGAAUUCCGAGUGUAGAGGUGAAAUUCGUAGAUAUUCGGAAGAACACCAGUGGCGAAGGCGGCUCACUGGACCGGCAUUGACGCUGAUGUGCGAAAGCGUGGGGAGCAAACGGG